AUCAUCUAUCCCACCUUAGGCGGCUGGCUCCUUGCGGUUACCUCACCGACUUCGGGUGUUACAAACUCUCGUGGUGUGACGGGCGGUGUGUACAAGGCCCGGGAACGUAUUCACCGCGGCAUGCUGAUCCGCGAUUACUAGCGAUUCCGGCUUCAUGUAGGCGAGUUGCAGCCUACAAUCCGAACUGAGAAUGGCUUUAUGAGAUUAGCUAGCCCUCGCGGGUUUGCGACUCUUUGUACCAUCCAUUGUAGCACGUGUGUAGCCCAGGUCAUAAGGGGCAUGAUGAUUUGACGUCAUCCCCACCUUCCUCCGGUUUGUCACCGGCAGUCACCUUAGAGUGCCCAACUAAAUGCUGGCAACUAAGAUCAAGGGUUGCGCUCGUUGCGGGACUUAACCCAACAUCUCACGACACGAGCUGACGACAACCAUGCACCACCUGUCACUUUUGUCCCCGAAGGGAAAUCCCUAU
rnacentral:rRNA from 1 species